rnacentral:rRNA from 1 species
CCUACGGGCGGCAGCAGUGGGGAAUAUUGGACAAUGGGCGAAAGCCUGAUCCAGCCAUGCCGCGUGUGUGAAGAAGGCCUUCGGGUUGUAAAGCACUUUCAGUGGGGAAGAAAGCCUUGGGGCUAAUACCCUCGAGGAAGGACAUCACCCACAGAAGAAGCACCGGCUAACUCCGUGCCAGCAGCCGCGGUAAUACGGAGGGUGCGAGCGUUAAUCGGAAUUACUGGGCGUAAAGCGCGCGUAGGCGGUCUGAUAAGCCGGUUGUGAAAGCCCCGGGCUCAACCUGGGAACGGCAUCCGGAACUGUCAGGCUAGAGUGCAGGAGAGGAAGGUAGAAUUCCCGGUGUAGCGGUGAAAUGCGUAGAGAUCGGGAGGAAUACCAGUGGCGAAGGCGGCCUUCUGGACUGUCACUGACGCUGAGGUGCGAAAGCGUGGGUAGCAAACAGGAUUAGAUACCCUUGUAGUC